UUAUGUUCCCCGCCCCCAUCUCCGCUUCCCAGCCAGUGAUUGAUUUGGGAAUUAGCAUGAGACCCAGUUCUGGCUAAUGAGAGUUUUGCUGAAGGCUUCUGGAACCAGUUCUUCCUCUGAAGAAAGAGCCACGUGAAAUCAGGUUUUCUCCAUCUCCAUUUGGACGUGAACGAGAAUGCUGAUAAGCGCUGUUGGUGCUGUUGGCUACUAGAGGAGCUAGACUUAAUGUGAGACCAGCGCCACAGAAGAAAGAGCAGAGAGAUGGACAGAACCUGGACUUGCUCUCAGGAACUAUGAAAGGGGGCUCCUCCCUACAAGCGGCAAAAGGAGUCAACUGGGAGACACUACCACAUGGGCUGGUUUAGCUGGAUGGAGCAUGGCUACUGAACACGGAACAAGAAUGAAGGGCAACACCCGUUCCUGCUGAUGUGAUGAUUACCCAAGAAGAUGUUGGACAUGGGGGACUCGCUGUGACCAGGAAGAUAUAGUCCUCUGAGAGGACCCUGGCAGAGGGCCCUGUGGAGAGGAGGAGUUCCUCGGACACCCCUUUGAAGAGCCAGAAGGGAGAGGGAGGUUUGAGGAGGGCUGAGCGGGAGAGAGCAGGGCGGAGGAGACUUGCUGAGCUGGUACACAUCAUGGGAGGAAGGCAAGGAGAAACCAGGCUGCGGUGAAGUGAGCCCUUGAAAGCCAUUUUUUCAGUCUUUUCCACAAGGAAGGAAUCGUGCCCUGCGAGGUGGACUAAUGGGAGAUGCUUUAGGUUUAAUGGAGGACAUUUCAAGGACCUCUUGACUCGCUGCCUGUAUCCAUCUUAUUCUGUGCCCAAGGCACCAUGAUAGAUACUGGAGUUAUGAAAGGUAUGCGUGAGGCUGUCCCCACCUUCGUAGAGACAAUGACAUCUCCGAGGGGACCAGACCUACACAGAGAAGUGCACAAUCUUCUUUGCUGAAUAAUAGAACUUCAUGGAAAGAUGGUUCGUGCAGCAUACACUACGGGGAAGGUGAAUCAGAGUGCCAAAACCAUAGUCUGAUUCACUGCUUGACAAUCUUUUUCUCUAACGAUGGGCUGUUUUUCAAAUGCAAAUACAUUUCACAUUUCUCUGAAAUGACCAAAGACCACUUUUGUUUUCAAAAGGGAAAUGUACAGCACAGCCAGGGAGCUGGCUUCUAGGUUUCUUUUUUCCCCUGGUCAUAAAGGCAACAGUAGAAUAAGACCGAAGAGGGCUCUGUGCUUAGAGAUGCCACAUGACGUGGGCAGCCGGGGGCACAUCAAACUCUUGGGCAGCUUAUGGAGACACCCAGACAUCUCUUGCCUGGGCUGGACUGGCGUGAAUUAUUCUCUGGGUGCUUUUCCCCUUGAACUUUCCCUCUUGUUAACAUAGCCUUUUAUGGCCAACCUCAUGUAUUUACUCAUUUAUUUAUUCAGCACAUAUUUUGACCUCCAACUAUGUGUGAGGCACAGCAUAAGGUACUGGGUAUCCAAGGAUAUACAGGCCCAAACAGCCCUGCCCUCAAGGAGCCUAAAAUCUAGUGAGGGAGACAUUAUUAA